rnacentral:rRNA from 1 species
AUACGUAGGGUGCAAGCAUUAUUCGGAGUGACUGGGCGUAAAGAGUUGCGUAGGUGGUUUGUUAAGUGAAUAGUGAAAUCUGGUGGCUCAACCAUACAGACUAUUAUUCAAACUGGCAAACUCGAGAGUAGCAGAGGUAACUGGAAUUCCUAGUGUAGGAGUGAAAUCCGUAGAUAUUAGAAGGAACACCAAUGGCGUAGGCAGGUUACUGGGCUAUUUCUGACACUAAGGCACGAAAGCGUGGGGAGC